rnacentral:rRNA from 1 species
CCCUUAGAUGUUCUGGGCUGCACGCGCGCUACACUGAUGCACUCAACGAGUUUACGACCUUGCCCGAUAGGGUUGGGUAAUCUUUUUAAAAUGCAUCGUGAUGGGGAUAGAUUAUUGCAAUUAUUAAUCUUCAACGAGGAAUUCCUAGUAAGCGCGAGUCAUCAGCUCGUGCUGAUUACGUCCCUGCCCUUUGUACACACCGCCCGUCGCUACUACCGAUUGAAUGGUUUAGUGAGGCCUUCGGAUCCGCGACUCGUUUGUGGAGAAGUUGGACAAACUCAGUCAUUUAGAGGAAGUAAAAGUCGUAACA